GAUGAACGCUGGCGGCGUGCCUAAUACAUGCAAGUCGAGCGAACGGACGAGUAGCUUGCUUCUCUGAUGUUAGCGGCGGACGGGUGAGUAACACGUGGAUAACCUACCUACAAGACUGGGAUAACUUCCGCAAACCGGCGCUAACUCCGAAUACUAUUUUGAACUUCAUGGUUCCAUAGUGAUAGACGGUCUUGCUGUCACUUAUAUAUGUAUCCGCGCUGCAUUAGCUAGUUGGUAAGGUAACGGCUUACCAAGGCAACGAUGCAUAGCCGACCUGAGAGGGUGAUCGGCCACACUGGAACUGAGACACGGUCCAGACUCCUACGGGAGGCAGCAGUAGGGAAUCUUCCGCAAUGGGCGAAAGCCUGACGGAGCAACGCCGCGUGAGUGAUGAAGGUCUUCGGAUCGUAAAACUCUGUUAUUAGGGAAGAACAUAUGUGUAAGUAACUGUGCACAUCUUGACGGUACCUAAUCAGAAAGCCACGGCUAACUACGUG
rnacentral:rRNA from 1 species